CCUACGGGUGGCUGCAGUGGGGAAUAUUGGACAAUGGGGGGAACCCUGAUCCAGCCAUGCCGCGUGUGUGAAGAAGGCCCUCGGGUUGUAAAGCACUUUCAGUGAGGAAGAACGCCUGGUGGUUAAUACCCAUCAGGAAAGACAUCACUCACAGAAGAAGCACCGGCUAACUCCGUGCCAGCAGCCGCGGUAAUACGGAGGGUGCGAGCGUUAAUCGGAAUUACUGGGCGUAAAGCGCGCGUAGGUGGCUUGAUAAGCCGGUUGUGAAAGCCCCGGGCUCAACCUGGGAACGGCAUCCGGAACUGUCAAGCUAGAGUGCAGGAGAGGAAGGUAGAAUUCCCGGUGUAGCGGUGAAAUGCGUAGAGAUCGGGAGGAAUACCAGUGGCGAAGGCGGCCUUCUGGACUGACACUGACACUGAGGUGCGAAAGCGUGGGUAGCAAACAGGAUUAGCUACCCGGGUAGUC
rnacentral:rRNA from 1 species